GGGGGAUAUUGCACAAUGGAGGAAACUCUGAUGCAGCAACGCCGCGUGAGGGAAGAAGGUCUUCGGAUUGUAAACCUUUGUCCUUGGUGACGAUAAUGACGGUAGCCAAGGAGGAAGCUCCGGCUAACUACGUGCCAGCAGCCGCGGUAAUACGUAGGGAGCAAGCGUUGUCCGGAUUUACUGGGUGUAAAGGGUGCGUAGGCGGCUCUGCAAGUCAGGCGUGAAAUACAUGGGCUUAACCCAUGGACUGCGUUUGAAACUGUGGAGCUUGAGUGGAGUAGAGGUAGGCGGAAUUCCCGGUGUAGCGGUGAAAUGCGUAGAGAUCGGGAGGAACACCAGUGGCGAAGGCGGCCUACUGGGCUUUAACUGACGCUGAAGCACGAAAGCAUGGGGAGCAAAC
rnacentral:rRNA from 1 species